rnacentral:rRNA from 1 species
CCUGGUUGAUCCUGCCAGUAGCAUAUGCUUGUCUCAAAGUUUAAGCCACGUACGUGUAAGUACACUCAGCAGGUACAGUGAAACGGCGAAUGGCUCAUUAAUUCAGCUGUGGUUCCAUUGAUCGCUCCAUCUGUUACUUGGAUAACUGGUAAUUCUAGAGCUAGAACAUGCUGAAGAGCGCCGACCUCCCGGGAUGCAUGCAUUUAUCAGACCAAGACCAAUACAGGCUUGCCCGGUCGCUUUGGCGACUCUAGGUAACCCUGGGCCUAUUGCACAUCCCCAUGACGGUGGCAAUACAUUUCUAUGUCUGCCCUAUUAACCUUCAAUUGUACUUUCUGUGCCUACAAAGGUGACCAUGGGUAACAGGGAAUCAGGGAGCAUGAGAAAUGAUUACCACAUCCAAGGAAGGCAGUGGGUGCUCAAUUUACUCACUACCAACUUCGUGGCCCUGUAAUUGGAUUGAGUACACUUUAAAUCCUUUACCAAGGAACCAUUGGAGGGCAAAUCUUUCGAUAAUUCCAGGUCCAAUAGUGUACAUUAAAGUUGCUGCAGUUCAAAAGCUCAUAGUUGUAUUUUGGGAUCAAGCUGGCAGUCUGCCGUGAGGUGAGCUACCGCCUGUCCCAGCCCCUGGCUCUGGGUGCCCCCUUGAUGCUCUUGACUGAGUGUCCUGGGGGUCUGAAGUGUUCACCUUCAAAAAAUGUGAGUGACCAAAGAAGACUGUUUGCCUGAAUAUAUCCUCUGCGAAUAAUGGUAUAGCACUCCAGUUCUAUUUUGUUGGUUUUUUGGAAUUAGGGCCAUGAUUAAGAGGGAUGGCUCAGGGCAUUUCUAUUGUGCCACUAGAGGUGAAAUUCUUGGACCGGCACAAGGCGAACCAAAGUGAAAGCAUUUGCCAAGAAUGUAUUCAUUAAUCAAGACUGAAAGUCAGUGGUUCGGAGACAAUCGGAUACCGUUGGGGUUCCAACCAUAAACAAUUACGCCUAGCAAUCUGGCUGUGUUAUUCCCAUGUCCCGCUGAGCAACUUUCGGGAAACCAAUGUCUUUGGGUUCUGGGGGAAGUAUGGUUGUGAAGCUGAAACUUAAAGGAAUUGACAGAAGGGCACAACGAAGAGUAUAUCCUGCAGCUUAAUUUGACUCAACACGGGACACCUGACCCAGCCCAUUUACAGAAUGGAUUGACAUAUUGAUAGCUCUUUCUCGAUUCUGUGGGUGGUGGUGCAUGGCCAUUCCAAGUCCGUGGAGCGAUUUAUCUGGUUAAUUCAGAUAACGAACGAGACUCCUCCAUGCUAACUAGUUACGCAACCCCUAGCUGUAGGCAUUCAACCUCUUAGAGCGACUAGUGGCAUUCAGCCACAUGAGAUUGAGCAAUAACAGGUCUGUGAUGCCCUUAGAUGCCCAGGUCUACACCCGCACUACGCUGAAUAGAGCGGCGAGAGUCUGCCCUUUGCUGACAUGGACGAGUAACCUGCUGAACCCUGUUUGUGAUAGGGACUGGGUAUUGCAACUAUUUCCCAUGAACGAGGAAUACCCAAUAAUUGCAGGUCAUAAACUUGCAUUGAUUAAGUCCCUGCCCUUUGUACACACUGCCGAGAGCUACUACCGAUUGUAUGGUUUAGUGAGGUCCUUGGAUGGGCUAGGUCCUGACAUGCUGGGCAAGCUCUGAGCCAUGACGCAUCCGAUCCUACCAGACGGGCCGGCAUUGAGAUUCUAGCUGCUCACCA